rnacentral:rRNA from 1 species
UACAGAGGGUGCGAGCGUUAAUCGGAAUUACUGGGCGUAAAGCGUGCGUAGACGGUUAUUUAAGUCGGGUGUGAAAGCCCCGGGCUCAACCUGGGAAUUGCGAUGGAGACUGCAAGGCUUGAAUCUGGCAGAGGGGGGUAGAAUUCCACGUGUAGCAGUGAAAUGCGUAGAGAUGUGGAGGAACACCUGUGGCGAAGGCGCCUUGCUGGCCAAUUACUGACGCUGAGGCGCGAAAGCGUGGGGAGCAAACAGG